ACACUUUCCCGGCAGUGGAGUCCCCUGAUCGUGAAGACGGUUUUCCCAGGGUGAGGCUCACCCACUGCACACAGGUGUGCUGACCCCUGCGAUUUCCCCAGGUGCAGGAAACACAACUGCAUAAUUCGUGGUAGAGGGGACUUCGUUCAUGCUUCCCCUGU
ensembl:snRNA U1 U1 spliceosomal RNA